AACUAAUGGCGCAACAUUUCCGUAUUUUUAUAUUUGAAUAUUCUUAUCAAUGAAAAAACCAAGGAAUCGUUAGAAAAACUGGUGAAUCAAGUUGUUUUUUUCUUCAUUUCUGGUUUCUCUCCUGGUGUAAUAAUCCGGUUACGAGGUCAAAUUGGAUUUUUGUUGUGUUGUUUCUGACUUUUUUUCGAUUCUCGUUCGACGUUGCCAAGUCGUCUCGGCCAGUUGGAAUCGACUCCAUCGAAAUCGGUUGGUAUUGUAAUUUUUGAAGUUGCUGCGCAAGUCUCGUUAAAAAGUCCAACGGAAAAAUUCUCUCACACGAAACACUGUCAGUCGAGAAGAUCAGUUGGCAAAUGUGCCAAUUUGCCAGAGUUGUUGCUAAAUCUAGUCAUUCUGAUCAUCCCUGGCAGCGAGAGAAACGAUUGAAAUAUCUUUGAAACGUCAAAUAAUCACCACUCCCUUUUUUGGUUGUGAGUUGUCUGCGGGAGUUUCUUUCUUUUUUUGGGGUACUGCUGCCCGUGUUUGUGUGUGUGUGUGUCUGUGUGUACGUGUGGGCACCUUGCAUCUCUUGUUGACAAGCCCUGUUGGUCUAUACACCUCUCUGCCAGGGGUUUGAGCCUCAGUUGGGUCUUUCAUUUCUCAUUGUGUUUACGUGUCUGGUUCGCGGUUCGCGCCAGCCGAUGAUGUGCAAACUUUUCAGUGAUUAUCAACCGAAAAUCAUUACCUGACUCUCCUGCCUUUGUGUGUCCAUCAUCUUAACUGUCAUUUGAAAUUUGAUCCCAUAACUUUUAUCCUGUAAAAUGAAUACCGUACUUGACAAAGAAGAUAUUCUGGUGCACGCUGCAGAGUUUAUCAAAGAUCAACUCUAUUUCGCUACUCUGAAAGUGUCCAUCAGACCAAAGUCCACGCCAGACACCCACUAUUUCUGUAUAGAUGACCAGCUUGUGUACAAAAAUUUUUAUUCAGACUUUGGCCCACUGAACUUGGCUAUGCUGUAUCGCUACUGUCACAAACUCAAUCGGAAACUCAAGGUAAAGAGGUCAAUCCCUUUGUGCAACAUCCCUGCGACUCAAUCUCAAUUGUAAAUGAUGCCCCUUUAUUGCAACAUGUGUUGUGGCGAAAUAUCUUGGUUGUCAUGAAGAGAAUCUGAAUGAAGGUGGAGGGCAGUGUGGAUUGUGUACAUGAUUCAGCUGUUGUCGCUCCGUAGUAUGCAUAUUCAUCUCUGAUCCCCGAGGGCUCCAUUUAAA